rnacentral:rRNA from 1 species
UACGAAGGGGGCUAGCGUUGCUCGGAAUUACUGGGCGUAAAGCGCACGUAGGCGGUUUCUUAAGUCGGGGGUGAAAUCCUGGAGCUCAACUCCAGAACUGCCUUCGAUACUGGGAAACUUGAGUCCGGGAGAGGUGAGUGGAACUGCGAGUGUAGAGGUGAAAUUCGUAGAUAUUCGCAAGAACACCAGUGGCGAAGGCGGCUCACUGGCCCGGUACUGACGCUGAGGCACGAAAGCGUGGGGAGCGAACAGG